GAGAGAGAAGGAGAGAGAGAGGGAACUUAAUCGUUGUCGCCGUGCGCUGCUCAACGAGAGAGCGCUACGCGCUGACCGAGAGAAUUCUUAUCAGCUUAAUCAGUCGCGUUCUGAACUCUGACCCGAUCAGUCGCGUUCUGAUCUCCGUACCAACAAGUCGCGUUUUGACCUCAGACCCAAAAAGUUGCGUUCUGACCAAUCUGUUCUAAAGUGAAAUAAACUUGUGAAUUAACAACAUCUUACAAACAUA